rnacentral:misc_RNA from 1 species
AAAAUAAAUGAAUUGGGUAGAUUGAAAAUGUACCAAUAAACAUUUUUUUACAUUUUCAACUUAAUGUUCCAUUUAUAUGGGAUAAAGAGAAAACUUCCGUCAUUCUACAUCAGCUGUAUAACCUAUGAAUACACCAAUGUACACUUGGAGAUUUAUCAAAAUUUCACUUCUAUCAUGAACACUGCUUUUUUCUAAAAUCAUCAGAUAACAAUGUCUGAAACAGUUGUUGCAACCUCUCAGCACCUGGACCUGGCCUAAACACUGAAUAAUUUCCACGCACAGAGCAUGGAUCAGCACCAUCAUCUGAGCUGCCAAUACACCAUGCUCCAGGUGCAAACCGGCUUGUGCGACCUAGAAGCUCUUUGUCAAUCUUGUCUAAAACCGGAUCAUCCCUUGCAAAUUUACGAGCAAAUGGUGCCUUGCUUUUAACCAUUUUGUCGAAGUCUUUCAUGGUCAAAGAGAUAGGAUGCUGCUUUGGAGGAGUGUCCCAAGCAAUGUAGUGAAGAUCAUGGCCUAUUGCUGUGUUUCGGAAUUCUUCUGUGUUGCAAAUAAGAGUAUGGAAGUAUCCUUCUGGAGAGGAGAUGAAAUUUGUGUAGUACAUUAAGAGAGUUCGUGGGAGGUUAUUCCAUCCCAUUAUAGAGUAUUCUAAAAAGGAUCGGGUUAGCAUUACCCAUGCUGAACCUGCACACCAGAAGCAAGCAAAGAAAAAAAAUGCAUAAAUUUAUCUCAAAACCAACAAUGAAAAAAAACACAAAGAAGUAAAUAAUGGCAGGCAAACAUCCACUUGUCCACAUAUAGCUCUCAUACCAUACAGAAAGAAUACCCAUACCAAUAUUUGUAACCCAGGUUAUCCAACUUAGAAGAGAUCCUAACUACACUUUUCAGAUAAAAAGUAAAGAAAGACACUUUCACACACCAGACACCCCCCAAAUAGUAGUAAUUGACUACACAACUAAAUUAUGCAGCACGCAAUUCUGAGAACAUGACAAAAACACAACAUAACAAUUAUGGCAUGUAUAAUUCAUCCUCUCACGUCAUCUCCGUGAAAUGGCAAGAUAGUAGAAAUUAAGUCCCCAGCAUGCCUAACCAUGGGCAUGGUAAAACACUGAAUGGGACAUUUACGAGAGAACUGCCAUUGCAAAUUUUAUUUUUGCAUGUGUUGACGUUACAUUUGGAAUCCUCAUGAAUUAAUAGCUGUUUAUGUUCAUUCCAGAAACACACAAAGGGCAAACAGGAGAGUGGGAAGCACGUGAUUUUCAUUUUAUGCUAUGGAGAAUUUUCUAGCUUAUAUAAACAAAAGCAAGCAACUCUGCAAAGAUGCAAAAAUUAGCCUGCACUUGCAUGAUUGCAUAAAAACUACAGGAUUACCAUAUAGUGUGUGCUCAAAGAAGUAACGAUUCUAGAUCGAUUUGCAUACCAGUAAACAACUUGAAAGAAGUGGGAAGUGAACGACGUUGAGAAGUCAAAGCAAGGUCAUAUUUCUUUGAUAAGUAAAGGCCUGGAUCAAUGAUAAUUGGUUUUGCCCUUUGGUUCCUGCAGAAAGUUGGAAAAAUGCAGUAUGCUCAAAUUCAUUUUUUUUUCCCAUUAAAAAGAAGGGAACAAGCAUCUUCUAGCGAAGUAACAUAGGAGUUCUCUAUUUUUCACUUACAGUUUCCAUCCAGUAAUCUUCGUAUGUUCAAUGAAGUUUAGAUUUCUAGACAUAUUUGAGAAUACAAGAAGCAAAUCUGAUAACAUUAUGGUUUACCCAUUCCAGAUUAAACCUUAGAGAAUAUGUCUUUGGCUGGACCUACAUAUCCAACCUCCAAAAUGGAAGUCACAAAUCAAUAAUAUAUAAAAGUGAGUGGAAUCACAAAUUAAUAGCUAAUAGGUGACAGCAAUAUUUAUAAAUGAAUAUACAGGAAAAGUUCUCCAGAGUGUAACCAGUCACAAUGAGCAUGUUAAGAUGCAUUCAUAAGAUCAAACAUCAUAAACUCCUUCGAUAAUAAAAGAAUAUCAUAAUAACAGAAGAGAAACAACAAUAAUGUAGCAUUCAAUAUUAACCAUCUUGUGUCACAAGAGGAUAAUCCGAAGCACUGAGGUUAAUGAACCAAUCCCACUCCAAGCUCUCCCUCAACAUAAUUGCAAUCGCUUGAAGUGUACACGCUAUCAUAGUUGGCCCCUUAUAGGUCACCAAAUUGGACUGUGCCAUUAUACGUACAUUCCCAACUUCUAGAAAUGUCGGAUCAUCCUUCACAGAUAUCCCCAACUCCAACCUUUCACGGGGCGGCGCCUCAAGAUCUAAAUGCAAAAUAUACUGAUUUCUUGGAUGAUACACUGCUUGCAAAGUCCUCAUCAUUCUACGACUAUCGCCCUUUGUCCCUGAGAUGAGAUAAGCUAAUCUAGGGGCCUCCAAUUUUGAAUAACCACUUGUGUUAAACGACUUGUUUAAUUCGGAUUCAACGAAAUACCCACUGGCGUCCUCUGAUCUUGAAAAUGAAAUAAUGUCAAAUGGCAACUGAUCUCCCCCAUAAGAAGAGGUAAAUAGCCCAAAAGUAGCUGACAGAAAUAGAGUCAAAGAUACAAGGAGGCUUGCAAAAAAUGGAAUAAGCCAUUUUCUAUCACUAAACACCCUUCCUGAGUGGGAAUUGGCAUUUUUUCUCAUACUCAUUAAUCGGUUUUUCAUGGACAGCAAUUCCCUCUAGCUGAAAACUCGGAGGUGUACGAACUAGCUCAGAAAACCGAAAAUGCUAGCAAGCAAAGUGGAACCCAGCAAUCUAGUUAAGAGAGAAGAGGCAAAGAGAAGAAAGGAGGUUCUGUAACUGAACCAAAGCCUCCUUUUUAGGUAUUCGAAUAACAUCCAAGCUAAGACUUUGAAGCAAAGAUGCGUAAAUAGGGAAUAGAAUACAUACCAAUAACCAAAACCCAAGAGCAGAAAUGUCCCCAGUAACAAAUAAAAAAAGAUUUCGUCUUUAAUUUGCUAAUGAAGGAGAGUUUAAAAGAAAAGGCUGAAAAUAGCUAGUUCAGUGGAGGAAAGACAUUUACAGGCGAUAAAAGCACAUAAAUUUGACUUUCAAUUUUGAAAAUCUAUAAGCAGCUCGGAUUAGCGUGCAAUAAAUAGAAAGUGUAUUUUGCUCUAAACUAUCCCAGAUCUAAAGCUAAUUGAAAGAGGCAAAGAGCAGAUAGAGAGAAAGAAAAAGGGUAAACAAAAGAAAAAUGUAUGCUUAGAGUGGAAGUUUCAGAAACUUAGAAAAGAAGAGUGUUGUAGUAAUGAAAAACAAUAAUAAAUGGUUAAUAUUUCUAUAAAAGGAAGGAAAUGCUUAAUUAA